AUGUGAAAGCCCCGGGCUCAACCUGGGAAUUGCAUUUAAAACUGGUUAACUAGAGUACUGUAGAGGGAGGUAGAAUUCCACGUGUAGCGGUGAAAUGCGUAGAGAUGUGGAGGAAUACCGGUGGCGAAGGCGGCCUUCUGGACAGAUACUGACGCUGAGAUGCGAAAGCGUGGGGAGCAAACAGGAUUAGAUACCCUGGUAGUCCACGCUGUAAACGAUGUCGAUUUGGAGUUUGUUGCCUAGAGUGAUGGGCUCCGAAGCUAACGCGAUAAAUCGACCGCCUGGGGAGUACGGCCGCAAGGUUAAAACUCAAAUGAAUUGACGGGGGCCCGCACAAGCGGUGGAGCAUGUGGUUUAAUUCGAUGCAACGCGAAGAACCUUACCUGGUCUUGACAUCCACAGAAUCUUGUAGAGAUACGAGAGUGCCUUCGGGAACUGUGAGACAGGUGCUGCAUGGCUGUCGUCAGCUCGUGUUGUGAAAUGUUGGGUUAAGUCCCGCAACGAGCGCAACCCUUAUCCUUUGUUGCCAGCACUUCGGGUGGGAACUCAAAGGAGACUGCCGUUGAUAAAGCGGAGGAAGGUGGGGACGACGUCAAGUCAUCAUGGCCCUUACGACCAGGGCUACACACGUGCUACAAUGGCGUAUACAAAGGGAGGCGAAGGUGCGAACUGGAGCGGACCUCACAAAGUACGUCUAAGUCCGGAUUGGAGUCUGCAACUCGACUCCAUGAAGUCGGAAUCGCUAGUAAUCGUGAAUCAGAAUGUCACGGUGAAUACGUUCCCGGGCCUUGUACACACCGCCCGUCACACCAUGGGAGUGGGUU
rnacentral:rRNA from 1 species